GACGAACGCUGGCGGCGUGCUUAACACAUGCAAGUCGAACGGAAAGGCCCUGCUUUUGUCGGGUGCUCGAGUGGCGAACGGGUGAGUAACACGUGAGUAACCUGCCCCUGACUUUGGGAUAACUUCAGGAAACUGGGGCUAAUACCGGAUAGGAGCUCCUGCUGCAUGGUGGGGGUUGGAAAGUUUCGGCGGUUGGGGAUGGACUCGCGGCCUAUCAGCUUGUUGGUGGGGUAGUGGCUUACCAAGGCUUUGACGGGUAGCCGGCCUGAGAGGGUGACCGGCCACAUUGGGACUGAGAUACGGCCCAGACUCCUACGGGAGGCAGCAGUGGGGAAUAUUGCACAAUGGGCGGAAGCCUGAUGCAGCAACGCCGCGUGCGGGAUGACGGCCUUCGGGUUGUAAACCGCUUUCGCCUGGGACGAAGCGUGAGUGACGGUAAUGGGUAAAGAAGCACCGGCUAACUACGUG
rnacentral:rRNA from 1 species